AUAAGUAUGUAAUCAGAAAUAUAUGGUGUUUGUGUAUAUACAUAUUCAUAUAUAUAGUGACUUUCUGUAUAUAAAGGCUGCUUACAUAGAAAUAUAAAUAGUGCAUAUUUCCUUUUAUUGAACCAAUAGUUUUAUUACAUAUUCUCCAGAAAUGUCCUCUUGGCUUUAAAAUUUCCAGAAUAUCAUCUCUCAUUUUUCGGAUCUUCCCCAUGUGACCUGGGUCAGAAUCGGGGUCCCAGGGAGAGAAGGGCCGGGCCUCAGCUCUUCUGAUCCGGUCUCUGUGUUAGGCUGUUCUUGCAUUGCUCUAAAGGAAUGCCUCAGGCCGGGUCACUCAUAAGGAAACCAGGUGUAAUUGGCUCACGGUUUGGCAGGCUCCCAAGCAUGACGCCAGCAUCUGCUGGGCUUCUGGGGAGGCCUCAGGGACCUUUUACUCAUGGCGGAAGGCAAAGUGUGAGCAGGCAGAGAGAGAGAGAGUGCAAGAGGGUGGAAGGGAAGGUGCCACACACACAUUUUUGAACAGCCAGAUCUCAGGAGAACUCACUCACUGUCGUGAGGACAGCACCCAGGGUAUGGUGCCAGACCAUUCAUGAGAUAUCCACCCCAUGACCCAACCACCUCCC
rnacentral:lncRNA from 10 species